rnacentral:misc_RNA from 1 species
GCAAACUUGGUCAUUUAGAGGAAGUAAAAGUCGUAACAAGGUUUCCGUAGGUGAACCUGCGGAAGGAUCAUUAUUGGAUCUUUUCUAAUACCUUAAAACCUCAUGUGAAAAUGUAUAGUUUGUUUGUGAGUAAGCAGUGUAAGUGGACUCUCCGCGAGUUCCCCUGACCACAACGAACAAUAUAAACUUCUAAAACAAUUUUUUUAUUUUAAUUAUUCGUCUGAACAUUUUUUUUUAGCCAGAUAAAUUGGUAAAAAUAAAACUUUUAACAAUGGAUCUCUUGGCUCUUGCAUCGAUGAAGAACGCAGC